AGCGGCUUGCGGGUCCAGUCGGUAGAAAGAGAUUUCCUACUGGCCUGCCAAGUCGGUGC
rnacentral:pre_miRNA from 1 species